CACGUAGGAGGCGAGCGUUGUCCGGAAUCAUUGGGCGUAAAGAGCGCGCAGGCGGCUUGGCAAGUCGGGUGUGAAAUCCCGGGGCUCAACCCCGUGACUGCAUCCGAUACUGUCAGGCUAGAGGUAGGUAGGGGAGAUCGGAAUUCCCAGUGUAGCGGUGAAAUGCGUAGAUACUGGGAGGAACACCAGUGGCGAAGGCGGCUACCUGGACCGGUUCUGACGCUGAUGCGCGAAAGCGUGGGGAGCAAACAGG
rnacentral:rRNA from 1 species